rnacentral:miRNA from 1 species
UGAGGUACUUGUUAGAA